GUUUGUAUCGCCAUUCCAACACCGCUGCUGCAGAUCCCUUGAGUUGUGCCUCCUUAAUUUAAUUUGUUCAUCUGAAGCGUAAGAAGAUCAAAAGCCAAUUUACACGUGUGCUCCUAGAAUACAACUCGAUCCAUGGCGAUCAAAUCAGGACCAUGAUGGAGCACAUUGUGUAUGUUCACAAUGG